rnacentral:tRNA from 1 species
GGGCGACGAGCGUCGGGGCGGACCGGCGCUCCGGGAGCGCCUCGGACGCGGCGCGUGUGCCGCGGGCGCGCGUUCGCAACGCGCCGCCGACGC